UCGGCCUUAGCAUCUUCCGACCCAAUCGCCACCGUUACCGGUACGUUCUCUGUUAUAAUCACCAUUAGAAACACUGUUGCCGUUAGGGGGUACCUUGUUUCUAAGGAGCACCACGAGAAGCACUGGGUCCGGCUUGCUUCUACCCGCGAGGGGUACACGUCAGUAUUGGUAGCGGUACCUCCUUUCUCACGGGCACCUUGAUAGUGGUUAUGGGCAUCUAGCGGUACCUCCUUUCUCAGGAGCACCUGGAUAGUGGAUAGGAGCAUCAGGAGGUACCUCCUUUCUAAGGAGCACCUGGAGAGGGGUUGGGAGCAUCGGGAGGUACCUCCUUUGUAAGGAGCACCACGAGAAACACUCCAAUUGGUGGGGUGUGAGCCGUGAGGGGUUCUCGUCUGUAGUGGACGAGGGCCGGGUGCACAACAACAGGCAAUCGCCAGACACACUAUUGGGCCCUGAGACAACACUCGGCCGACAUCGGUGUAAGUGGUGUCCGCUCCAUGCAUGACUCG
rnacentral:misc_RNA from 1 species